AUGGAUAUUUUUACAGUCCUCAUAGACCUGGAUAGGUUCACUCAUUGUUAAUGCCAUGGAUAAAAAAGUUUGUACAGCGGACUCUUUUGAAUUCCAAAAUAUCAGCGAAUUCAUGUGGGUUAAGUCUGGUCUAAAUGGCUCUCUCCCCUCCCCUGUAUUUGGAUGUCGUCUGAAUUUACUUUGCCCUUGUGACAAGUAUAUUUUCACUUGCAGGCUGAUUAAUGGAACCUGGUUACAGUAUCCUGCAGUACGAGAGUUUCACAUCGCAACUUCAAAAAAUCGUUCGUCGCAGCGGACGACUACAGUCAAGUAACGACCGCCUACAAUGUGAAAGGAAUAAGCACCAUCAUGGACUUCUUCGACCGACGACACCGUAUCUCGUCGUUAAUCUCGUUUUAAUGCGGAACGCUCCGGCGGCUGUCGGAAUCGACUACGAAAGGGACAUACUUCCGACAAUUACGACCCGAAGGAUAUUCAACUCUACUUUGCUGGCGAAGGACUCGUGCUGGGGAUGUUUUUUUAUUCAUCGCGAACGUAAUCGUGUAGCUUAGGAUGCAGAGAAUAAGUAUGAGCGCAAAAUAGAACGUUGGACCCGCCCAGGCAAAUUUUCCCCUUGUUUUAACCCUGUGAAAUAGGCCGUUUCAUUGGGCUAUAGGUGGUUGUCUGGAACUGUGUAAUGGACGAAAAGUUGUUCGAACGCUAGUUAAAAGUGAAGUAGUAUAACCUCGGUCAUGUAUCCUAUAUAUAUAAAGUAUCAUGUAUCCUAUAUAUAAAUGAUCAUAAAUAACAGUCGAAAUAUAUCUUUGCGUGUACGCAAUAGGAAUCUCUUAUAUAAAUGAUCAUGAAUAACAGAAUCUAAAUAUAUCUUUGCGUGUACGCAAUAGGAAUCUAUUUAAAGUGCACAUAUAUUAAUCAUAAUUAUAUGAAUCCAUAUACAUAUGUAUAAACAAAUCAGGUAGCCUAUAAUCAAUCUGUUACCUUUUAUCUUACCAAUAUCUGCAGUUAUAUAUGAGUUAGUAUAUUGAUUAAUGAAUCAGAUAUGUAACAGUUAGCAUAAAAAUCAACGAAUCAAUCAGCAUAAACAUUAAUAAUGUUAUCAAUUCAUAUAUGAAAUUUUUUAUCAGUUAAAAUAUGAUUUUUAUCAUGUUAAUCUUCAUUCUAUGCAAUUAUCAGAGUACAUUAGUAUUUCCUGUAGCAUAAGUAUCUUAAAGAGAUGAAGUGAAAAAACUGUAUCAUUAUAUAUCACGUGAUCACUAUUAUUUACCAAUAUCAUUGUUUUAUAUUUUACUACUUGAAUCAAUUCAUGUAUACCAUGAAUUUUUAUUUACUUAUAUAUAUAUAUAUAUAUUCACAUAGUGUCUGUAUCACACUCCUAUAAGUCAAAUGCAAGUCAAGUUUGAGUAAUAUUCAGUAGUUGGUUUUGGUAGCUGACCGAGCUGAUGUAAGUGUUACAUAAUAAAAAUAUGGAAUAAUAGUCCAUAUAUAUAAAAGGCUUAUAUUAAAGAGGUCAACCAGAUUGCUUGCAGGAAUGUGAUCAGACUAGAGACGCUAAGAUAACAUGCCGUCACCUGUAGUCAUUCAAUUGUUUAUAAACAUUAGUCCAAGCUCCCUGCUUGAGACAACUACCCCGACCUAUAAUUCAAACGGCCUACGUGAUCUGUAGCGUGUCUCAUUUUGAUUGUGUGUUCGUAUGAAACUAUGUCAUUUGUAUGUAUGUUCAUAUGUUCGAACUACUGUCUGUUCCUUCAUAACUUGUAACAGAGAUGGUAGACGAGCAGAACAGAGUUAGCUAUCGUCAUUAGAAGACCUGUACCUCUUUACCUAAGCUUUAUCAUGUAGAGGAAUAGGAUUAGCCAUCAUCAUUGGCAGAAGCGAUCAAGCUAUCGUUAUUAGAAGACUUGUACAAUCAUAUCUGAUCUUCAGCAUAUAAAACUUCAGAAGAAUACAUAUAGUUUUAUAUUUCGUGUUUUCUACAAGAACCUCCUCACCAUGAGUUUAACACAUCGUCGUAAUAACCAACAAGAUAAUACCGACUUCGUAAAUGAUCUACAAACCCCCAGACACUCCAUUGAAGAUGGAAGUGCAAUACCAACCGACUUAGCGUAAGAUUAUCAUAGUCUAACAUUACCUCAUAGGGCGCCUUAUCAUACAAGGCACAAGCUCUAAUAUAUGUACAUGAAAGCAGUACCAUUUCACACAAUAAAAAUAGAAUGGAAUUUUAAAUAGUAUUUAACAUAUAAUAAAACAUGAAAACAAUCAAAUACAAUACGUACAGUAAUAUAAAAAAUAAGACUUAAUUGAGCCAGUGUUUGGUGCGCUGAUUGAGACUAUAGAGAGGAGAGUGAAGGGGUGGUAUUGGGUUAUGGGUGGGAGACAGGGUCUGCUUCCCACUGACUUACCAGCUGGGCUGGGAUGAUUAUUCGCCCGUUUCUCUCACACUUGAUGUGCCCAGAUCACUUGUUUUUGUUACAUUGAAAUACCUAUUGAGUGACGCUUGCUUUUUUACAAUUUUUUAGCACUAAAAGUAAAUCUGCUCCAUAAUAAACACACUAGCACCAUUUUCAUUGGCAUGCCUUUGAUUGUUUGUUUAAACAACUUCCUUGUGAAAAGUUAUUUAAUCUCUCUCUCCUUUUCUGCAGUCUUUACUCACUACUUAUUUGUUUGCAAAAUCCUCAUGUUUAUUUCAAAUUCUGCUGUUUGCCAACAGUAAGGUGAUGUGUUGUGGCAUAAUUAUUUCUUGCACUCAAGAUCCAAGUGUAAACAUAUCAAGACACACACUCUCUCUCUCUCUCUCUCUCUCUCUCUCUCUCUCUCUCUCUCUCUCUCUCUCUCUCUCUCUCUCUCUCUCUCUCUCUCUCUCUCUCUCUCACUAUCGAUUCCUCUGAUUAUCCUUGUAAAAUGUGAAUAAAAUUGAUUUUGUUAUCAGCCUGCUGCGACCGUUUCUGUUCCCUCAAAGGGUUCCUGUCUCUCCUCCCUCCAUCCCAGCUGGCCGCAUGCCAUUUUCACCAAACAGUUCGUAAAUCGUACACAGAAACAAAAUUUGUUGGAAAUUUUACUUUGCAUAACAUACUUUUUUAUUACUUUACACAUUUAAUUUAACUUUUGAACACAUUAAUAAUAGAAAUAAUUUGGAAAGGGAGACUUUUUGGUUGGCUGGAAAAAAUUUUCCUGAUUCCUUUUAUUUCCAAUGGGGAUAUUUGUUUCAUAUUUGGAACGAAUUGCAUUUUGACCAGCCUUCUGGAAUGGAUUAAGUUCAAACUCUGAGGUACCACUGUACUAUAUCAAAACCAUAAUUGUCAUCUUGUAUGUAUAUAUGCAUAUCAGAAUAAUAUCCAUUUAUUUUAUGUAUUUAACAUCUUGGAUUUAAAUCAUGGUUCUUUUCUGUAUCUAAUUAUUGGUACUAUAAUGGCCACCUUUCUAGGGCAGAUAUUUAUUACCCAAGGGUUUGGCCAAAAAUCCUUUCAUGAUUAUUCAAAAGGUUUGAUGCCUCCAAAAACUUCAUCUGUAUUCCAUACACAUAAGUGGGAUUAAAAAUUAUAUUUUAUACAUCAUAGUGCAGAUGGAUACCAUAUUGAAUGUAUUUGUAUACAUUUUCCUUUAUUGUAAGAUAUGAUAACCACUGUCCUUCACUAAUAUUGGGACAGCUAAAGAGAAUAAAAUGGUAAACCCUAGGAGUUGAUCAUCCAGGAUAGCUGUCUGUGAUCCCACUUGCAUUGCAUUGUAGGGUAGUAAUGCCAAUUAACUAUCUGAAGUCAAGACAUUACAUUUCAAAGCCAUAGCUAAGCCUUCCAAAUGUAUAGGACAUGGACUUUGUGAUUUAGGUAGCCAGAUGAAUAUUCUGAAUAUGUGAAUAAAAAAAUUUGAAGGGUGCAGUGCACAAAAGAACAUCUUAUAUGUUGUGCUUUAUGUCAUUUUUCUUGCAUUUUGUUUUGGCUAGAUGAUCUUAUUAAAAUUUUAGGCAGGUUUGUUCAUGCAAAUUGCAAAUCUCAUACUUUUGCAGAAACUUAAAUGUAUUGCUAAACAAAUACUGUAGUGACAAGUUGCUGUCACUUCACAAAUUAUGUGGUAAAUAUAAGAUAGGCAAGAUGUCAUUUGCCUAUUGGCAAAUAUGUAUCAGAUGAGCUUAAAUUCAUUUAAUACCUUUUCUUCAUCCCCAUUGUUUUUACAGAUGUUUUUAAGUCUGUGUAUAAUUUUUCACCAUCAAUUGUUUUCACAGAUGUUCUAAAGUCUCCAUUUAAUUUUUCAUCUUCCCAUUUACUUUUUUUUUAUAAAUUUUCAUCAGAUAGUUUGUGUAUAUUUGUGAUGUGUUGGCAAGCAGUUUCAGUGUUUGUUGUGUUUAAGGCAAUAUCAAUUUACUCACACGGCAAUUAUUCUAUUGAUAUACUACAUUGGCUACUGAAUUUAUUCAUUUUUCUGAAAGUUGUGACAUCUUGGCAGAACAACAUUGCCCUUCUUAUGAAGUUAGUUAUACUAGUUCCCAGCUGUUUGGGGGAAGACAUGUGAAGUAUGAGACUGGAAAAAGUGUCUCAGGAGGAUCAACAUUAUUUGUUGCUGUCACCAGUGGUAUUUCCAAGGCUAAAUCUGCUUUUAAAGGAAGAAAAAGACUUUCAGCACCUUUACAGAAUCAUUAUGCUCUCUGAGGAUUUCUUUAUUGUAGCAGUCCUCCCAUUAUCAUCUCCCUUAGUUCUGCAGUUAUAAAAUGGACACAAAGAUGUGUAGUGUGGUAUGCAGAUGUUAAGGGCAAGUCCAGAGUUUCCUGAAUCAUAAUAACUGUGGUGACUAGUUCUGAGAUCAUCUUCCCUGCAGAAAUGUGAAUAGCUAGCCAAUUUUUGGAACUUCAGAUUGCGUUCUCAUCAAGUGAGGCAGUUAUGAAGUCAACUCAUCACAGCAAAAUAUCUGCACAGGAGGAGACUGGAUAAGACCAGAGUAUAUGACAAUAGCAAGGUUCCAGAUGUAGAACUGAUUGCUUAUCAUGUGAAAUCCUCUUGACAGUAUUUCCUAGUACUAUUCCUAUAUAAGCAGACAUUUGGUCACUUCAGCAGCAUUUUGCCAAGAAUUGGUCCGUAGUAGGCAAAGCUACUUUGGGGAAGCAAAGCCCUAACCCAGUGCAAGAUUCCAGUCAAUUUAUGAGCAAGAGGAACUUGAGUGCCUGAGGUACUCCAUUUUCAAACACUGGUUGGUUUGUUUGUUUAUUCGUAUGGUAUUUUUACGUUGCGUGGAACCAUUGGUUAUUCAGCAACGGGACCAACGGCUUUACGCGACUUCCGAACCACGUCGCGAGUGAACUUCUACCACCAGAAAUACACGUCUCUCACCCCUCAAUGGAAUGCCCGAGAAUCUAACUCGCAGCCAUAGGGGUGGCAGGCAAAGACCCUACCAACCACACCACUGAGGCGCUUUUCAAACAUUGGUGGAAGUUUGGGGAAUUUACUUACAGGAUAUAAGGGUCUUGGGGGAAUGGGUUGUCAUAGUAGCUUGGCAUAUAUAUUAAUUGAGAAAUGAUUGGAGACAUGGCAUUUUAAUACCAUGUGACUGAAGGGUUAAUUACUUAAAUUAUAGUUCCUCUGUCUGGUAACUUAAGAACCAAAGAUUAGUUGAUGAAUGUUGGGCACAGGAUCAAAGCUCCAACUGUGGACAAAGAGGUCCUUCACAGUCCCAGGGGUACCAAUGUAGAGACUUGAUACUGAGGACUCUCAGAUCAAGAGGAAACGAGAUCCAGGUAGCUGGUGAACUGAGUGAGGUUCAGGUUCCCAUAUGUGAGAGCAACAAGUGGUCCCUUCAGGAUGAUCACUUUAUUCCAACUUUUGAAGAUAUAGGGAAUAGUCCCAGUAGAUGCAUGUGCAAUUGCCUUAGACCAGAAAAGUCCAGUGUACUGCUCACUGCUUGUGAUCCAACAAUAUGAAAAUCACUUCCUUGUAUGCAUAUUUGACGACUUUGAUGGUGUAAUUUAUGAGGGAACUAACUUGAUACAAGUUUCUAUCUAUAAAACAAAAAGACCCUUCCUGUGUGCUUUGAAGUACGUAUAUUAAACUUAAAGUAUGGACAUCUGUAGCUUUAAGGGUUAUUGACAAAGGGCAGUAACCCUCCCAUCGAAAGUUAAAGCAAUUGUAUUCUUUUAUUACAACAACUUAAAAAUAUACAUAAAAGGGUCUUUCUAUCUCCUGCACUUGUCAAAAAUAUACAUCAUAAGGGUCUUGCUAUUCCCUGUACUUGUCCAAACAGUAUUGUUCUUUUUGUAUCACAAGCAUGUGUUAGGCUCACUUUUGACUGAUCUGCCAUAUCCUCCAGGAGCUAAACUCACAUCAAGAAGUUGGCAAAAGAUUUUGCAGCAGAGGUUUUUAUCUCUCAGACAAAUAUGCACCACUGAAUCCAAAACAGGCAAAGUUGACCAUCUCCUGUAAUUGAUAUUUGGAAGUGUAUCUACAUUACUUUUUCACUCUUCACAGCCUAGCAACAUUUUACAUUCCUCCAUGUAAAAAUUAUAUUGAUCUGUGCUAUUGAGGUUGGUUAUUAGUAAUUUACCAUACCUCAAAGCCCUUUCAGAAUUCAAUAAGCAAAAUCCUAACAUACCUGCCCAGGCACAGAAAUCCCAUAAUGACUGGAUCCUGUUUGGUACUACUGUACAUAUAUGGUGUUGGUGAUACUGUAGUUGACUGAUUCUCAAAACAACAAUUUUUUAAAUCACACAACUACAACCAUUGUGAGAUUGUCUAUCUGGAAGUAUAGUUGACAGCCAAAUACUAACAUAAUUUAAGUCUCCUGAAGAGGUAAGGCAAGACUCCUGAAGAGAUAAAGUAAGAACUUUGUAGCAUGUAUGAACAUAUCAAAAUUUUUACUCACUAAUGUAGUAUAACUAGUUGUGCAUGGUCAUACAGAAAGAACAAGUGAAUAUUUUUAUUGUGGUUAAGUACCUAAUCUUUAUUAAUAAUGAGAUCAUCUGCACAUGCAUCUGCGGCCUACCAGUUUUGGAUUGUUCUAGUUCCCCUCCUUAGUAAGUAAAAUGUAAAUAUAGUAAUUUUAAGUUUGUUGGUAAACAAAUAUUUAUUUUGGCUAUAUGGUAUUAAUAAAGUCUGAAUAUGCUGUGAUUUAUUUUAGAAUUUAUUCUAUUUUAUGUAACAUUUUAAAAUUAUCUCGAGUAGUAACAUUGGCUAUAAUGACCAAAUGAUAAUUCUGGUAUUAGUAUUGGGUCUACAGUAGUGUGAGGUGCCUUUUAAAAGCAUAUGAUAAUUAUUAUAGAGGUCUGCAAAAAUGUUAUUGUGAAUUCUUUAACUUGAAUUACAAAGAACUUCUCAGGCCAUUAAGUAACCCUUAGUGCCACAGUUACUGCUAGGUGUUAGUGCCCAAAAUGCUUUUUAUAAACAGUAAUUUUAUGUAUUUUCUCCAGCACAGCUACGUUAUUUGUCAUUGAAUAUAAGGCAAAACAAAUAUGAAAUGCUAACUUCUUUGUUAUAAUAACUGCCUCUGUGUUUACCAUCUAGAAAUGGAUUAUUACUGUAAAUGUAGUGAUGUAUAUAAUAUGAUGAAUUCUUCAAAUACUAAAGAUGACGGUUUAUCAAUGUAAAUUGGUUCAGUUACAGAAGUAAUAUCACCUAUGGUCUGUGGGUGUUUUUCUCUUAUGAAUUAAUUACUCCGCUCUGAGGUGAUUUAAGUAACUACAUAAAUACCUGCUAGUUAAUAAUAUAAGAUAUUGUUGUAAAAUUUAUUUUCUAUUAUACUGAUAUUGCAGUAGUAACAAGUAUGUCACAAAUGAGAGGAUGGAUUUUCUUUUUGUUUCAACAGCAGCAGUAUUUGAGCAGAAAUUAUAGCAAAAACAAUGACUGACACAUGUUGAUACUAUAUAGAGUUAUUAUUCAGCGAGUGCUUUAAGUAAAUUGGACUAGUGCAUAGAUUCAUAGGUUUUUCAAAGAACAAACUGCAUCCUAACGAGUACUACUAUGCAUGUGUCUGGUACUUUAGCAUUGUUUGUGCUCUAGCUUACCCUUCACGUUCUUGUAUGUAUUUGCAUCACUUGUUUUAUUAUAUUUAGGAAAGUUGUGUGUGAUCCUGAAAUCUGUGGGCUGAGAAGUAUUGUCAGAGUUUACACUUUAGUAAAGUGGAAAUAUAUGUUUUUCCCAGUUUGUGACAUUUUUGGUGCAAUGCUGAUUGUUUGUGACCUGAUGAUGCCCAUUAUCUAGACUGUAUUUUGAAUUUUAUCAUUUGUUAAGAAGUUUUUUAGAAGCUUAAUCAUGUAACAUUUAUUUUGUGGUGUAUAUAUGUUGUUCUCUCCAUUUCACUUCACAGAAUUUUUCAUGAUGCAAAUACUUGUAUAUAUAAAAUCCUUCUUGAACUAAGACUGAUGCCUUCCAUUAUUAGGAAAAAGUAUUAAUGCAAGAUUAUCGACACAGUAUUUCUCACAUCUUAAACUAGCUUAGUGAUAGGUGUAAGUAGAUUUCCUGUUAGUAAAAGAAAGAUCUGUAAUGAGAUAUGCAACAGAAUAUCUGAGAAAUGGAAUGCCCAAGUAAGUGUCAUCCAGAUAAAACACGAUUACAGCUUUUGGUAUCCUCAAAUAUGUAGUAUUAACAAUUGGUUGAGUUUUUCCAAAUAUAUUUUCUAGUAUCCUCUUUAUUCUGUGGCUCAAAAAUAAUAUCUGUUAAUAGUUGUCACUGUAACUUUCUUGCGCUCUGAUUGUGAAGUUGGGGUGCCAUGAUGGCUUGCUGACCAAAGUUCAUCUUUUGUGUGAAUUGUUUUGUAUGUAAAUUUUAUUUAUCUAUGCAGAUUACAAACUUCAUAGUUUCACUUGUCCAUAAUGCCUGGUAAAGAGCUGACUUGUCUCAAACUCAUUAGCUGCUUUAAUUAGAACACUGUAGUGAAAGGUUAGUGCCCAACCAAUUAUGUACAAUGAUUCCUUCCUUUUUUUUUCUUUUUUUUAGGUUAAAGGACUUCAUUAUUCUUUGAUAGAGUUUUCCAUUUUCCUUGCUCUCUGAUCUUCAAGCCUGUAAUGCAAUAACUUAUUUCAUUUUCUUGAUUGAUAUUUCCUGUUCACAUCAAAUUGUUUUUAAGAGGCGUUUUAAAAAUGUGAUCCUGAAACGAGAUUUUAAUUAUCAAUGAACUUGCUUCACCAUCCGUCAUCUUCACAGUUGAUCGCCUUUAUAUAUCAGAGGCAGAGGUGGAGUGAGAAAACAGCAGGAGCAGAACAGUAAUAGUUUUUUAUAUAGGCAUUUUCUUUAGUUGUGAUUGCAUAUUUUUUAUUGAUUUUGUAAUUCAACUGCUCUGUAACAAAAACAAUCAUUAUACAUUUUAUAAUGAAACCUUUCCUUCAGGACAGUGAGCAUAAGUUAAGCAUGCUCAGUUGAACUUGUAUGAUUAACAGGGUUGUGGAAAUUUUUCAAAGAAGAAAAAUGAUUGGUAUUCCCUAGUAAUUCAAGCCAAACUAGGAAUGCUGAUCAUAGCCAUUUCAUCAUUAUUUCAUUAACAUUUUCAGUUUACGAAGUUGAGAGUAAAUGGGGGCCUCUCCAUUCUCCUGUCCUGUUCAUUACCUACUUGCAUUCCAAUCCAGUAAAGGUCUUUACAUGUCCUUUCUUCAUGAUAUAUAUCGAGUCAUUUUCUCAGUCUCCAUCCUGAUAUAUCCAGUCUCCUCUUCCAGAUCAUUGUAGCUCAAGUGGCAAAGACAUAGUGUCCUUCAAAAAGGAUUUUUCACUUAUUUCACAAGUGAACAACCCUUUCAUGAAGUCAUAAUUGAAAGAGUAUAUCAACUGCUCCCAAGUGAACACCUACCCAUAGUGUGAUGACAAGUCUAGUGAUGUUUGCAUGUUUGUAAAAAAGUUCAAACAAAUGACAAACUAAGCUAGAAGGAAAGGAAAAUGCAUAGUCAAGAGACCAUGGGAUUUCUUUGGUUUCUGAGCCAGAGUUAUGCACAGUGCUUAAUCUCUUGGUAGCUCCUCAUUCCUCUUCCAUGCAGACAGAUCUGUUCCCAGGGAGUUCCCUUACUAUAAGCAAGGUUAGGGCACAUUUUCUGAAAUAUAGUGAUAUGGCAGAUUCAAGGCUGAUGACAAUUCAACUGUUGUGUAUUUAAAAUGUUGGUCAACUGGAUUUAGACAAUCAGAAAAGGUCACAGGUACAUUAGAUUAAUUCCAUUAUCAUCAAAUCCAGUUCUGUAUCAAGCAGACGCAACAACAUCUUCAGUCAUUUUCAGUGGAGAAUUUUCCAUUAACUUUCCAGGUGUAACAUCCUUCAUAAAAUAGAUGCCAUUAAUGAAGUAGGGUUCACUUACAAUGUGGUCACAAUGUUCAGAAUUGAUCCACUAUAUCAGUUGGCACUGACAAAGGCCAUGUGUCCAUGACUGAGUUUGGCAAUAUAUGGUAGCACAGUAAUGAGAAAUGUUUCUCUGAACAAUUACAGAAUUAUAAAUUAGACUAAUGAGGCCACCAGUCUUUUUUAAACCCUAAUAGAGCAUGUCUGAAGGAUUUGUUCCUGAAGGAAAAGUGAAAAAUAUCCUUAUGUCCUGAGUAUCUAAUGAAUAAAUUUUCUUCAAUCUCCUUCUGUAUCAGUUUAACAGUCACUUGCGUCACAUUAACAGCAACAGUUAGAUAAAAUGGAAACAAGCCCUUCCAAUCACCUUUUUUACUACUGGAAAAUUAAGCAUACCAUAUUGUUGCAGGAAAGCACAGCAAUCAGUUGAUGAUGCUUGUAUUGAAUAUUCCAGCUAAGAGACAGUUAUAAAUAUUGAGACCUAUGACACAAGUUUGAGACUCCAUUUAUGUUGUACCUAAUAUGACAAGAUUAUGCCACAAUAACCACUGCUAUGGCUGCUGGCCUUGCAAUGUUCAAAGGACUGUUAAUUGACCUUACCCACUGAAAAUUCAUUGUGCAAAUAGCAACCUCAAGAGAAAUAGUGGAGCUGAAAAUGAAGUCCAUCUAAGAUGUUUCACAGCAUUCAAUUACCUAAAGAUUAAGAAAAGGGACCUUGGCACCCAAAUACCUGACAGAUGCCUGCUUAUAUGAGUGCAUCAGCCAUCUGGAAGCACAUGGUAUUCACAAUCAAUUACCUAAUCUACCAGUUUCUGCCCCUAUGGUGGUGCAGAUACUCCAAGAGGACAUCAUCCUGUACAAUAUCUUGAUAACUAGUCAACUGUAACUUUUAGACUAGCUGGAAAAGAUGGUUGUCCAGGUGGCAGCCACAAGAGGAAUAUCAUAUCAAUUUGGCAUCCAAGAACAAGAAACCUGGGCAUAUGGAGUAGUGACACUGAUUAUUUGUUAGAGUACUACCUCUAUGCAAGGUGUAGUAAGAAAACUAUCUGCUACAUCUAAAAGAUAAGACUCUUGUUGGUCUUUUGAAGAGGUACCUUGAUAACUCCUACAGAGCUGUCUGUUCCUGUACAUUCAUCAUUUAAAGUGACUGCUGACCUGAAAGGAAAACAGGUGUGCAAUAUCAGGAAAAUAUUUCCUGAUAUUGCACACUUGUGCAAUUUCUGGAUUUUCCAUGCCCAUAACUGUACCUCUUCAAAUACAGGUACAAUUUCAUUGUGAUCUUAAAUGGCAUCCAAAAUUAUGUAGCUUCAUUCACUGGGAUUUGGAUGGAAAUCCAAGGUACCUAAAAAUUUAUCCACUAAGUCAAUGACUUUCCAGGAGUUCCCAAGAGGUAACGCAAGACUUUUCCAAGAACACAGUAGUCUUCAACUUCAGAGUCAUUGAUGAGAUGUCGACUGCAAUCGUCAUGGAUGCCACAAUAGGUUGUUUGGUGACUCAACUGUUAGGUGUUACACUGCUGGGAUUUCCUGUUUCCAUCUCCAUCCUGCCUCUUUUUACAACAAAGAACAAGAUGAGGGCUAAUGACUGACUGACAAUGCUUCUCCCUUCCCUUAGCCACUGAACUAAAUUUGGAGGCACCACAGUAGAGUUAUCUUCAAAUGUAACCAUGGAUGCAGAGGCUAAAGUCAGUCUCUUGCAAUGUAAUGCAGUAGUUGCUAUUAGCGAGAUCCACAAUAGUGCUUUACUAUGCUGGUGAAAGAGGUGUCACAUGUCAUCACACCUUAAACUAGAUUGUUGCAUAAAGAAAUUCAAGGUACAGGAUUGAAAGACCUGGACAUGCAGGGGCAGUCUAUUCAUAUUAUGAGAAACUUAAGAACAUAAAACUGUAACAAACAUGCUGACUAGUACGAUACCCUAGCUGCUAUAGCAUAAAGACUUCACAACUAUAUUAAUGUGUUGUCACACAAAAACGAUUCACUGAUUAUUGGUGACAACUAAAUAAAAUACAAGGGUGGGCACACGUUAUUUUUAGUACUGCAGUUCUCCCAUCUACCAUACUAGAGUUGUGGCUAUAUAGGCUUACUUCAAAGUUGGAGACAUCCCAAGUCCACUACUGUCUCUGCAACUUUCGACCUUUUAAUUGGAGCCUUAUCGUCCUUAUGCCGACGAACUGGAACAGGAACAGGAACAGAUGAAGAGGGAGUACCUCCAAAAUCAUCAGCCCGUACGUGCAAGGAUGAGACAAGUCCGCGUACGGACAGUGAAGACUCAACAUUCAUACUGUCACGAACACGUCCAUGAGGAGAGACAUGGUCGUGAAGAGAAGAUGAUGAUGAUGCAUUACUAGCAUGCACAGGAGACACGGCCAUGUAAGGAAAACGAGGAUGCCUUCCUUCCAUAAGUUUCACUGUCAACCUCACAAACAUGAACCUAUGAUGGAGAAGCACAACCUUGCGGGGCAGAUGGCAAAGAAAUCCUCUCACUUGCACAAACACAGACGUGUGGGGGAGACAUGGUCGUGAGAGGCAAAAGACGAUGCGCUCCCUCCGCUCGCAAAAGACAAAGCCACUAAGUCCUUGAUCCUCCAGUGUCUGAUAUGAUGGCAAGGCGGUGAUGGAGAAGAAGCAGGAGGAGUUAAAUUCCCUUCCCUAUGAGGUCUCUUAGAAGCAGGAGGUGGAGAAGAGACCUUACAUUUACGAACCGUCUUCUUUGUAGCGAAGGCAGAAAACCUCUCUUCCAAAACAGUCCAGCCUCUUGAAGACCGCAUGAAACAACGCCUUGGAUGGCUCAGCGAGAGGGGACGAUGACGCCAUAGAGACGAGCGGAUGAGCAGCCACCGCAUUUGACAUCUUAGGCUGAGAGGGAGCUGGGAGUGAUGUCACAACAUCUCUAUGACCAGCGCUAGUCGAUGGCCUCACUGGCGGAGCGAUAAGGCACGACUCAUUGAUUCUUGGAGAGGCUCCGUAAGAUGGCAGCAUGCGAGAGCCAAUGUAGAGGAGUCCAGGGGGAGGUGGGAGAGCAAUGGGGGCCAGAGGGGUUUAUGAGCCUCCAAGAAAUGCGAGAACAGUCCAUCCAAAGAAGAUGAACCCUGUUGCCCAAGUGAUGCCAAAAGCGCUUCACUCUUGGAUAUAACUAAACCUGAAACAAAAGAAUUAGGUGGUAUAGCCUCUUCCCUCGCAGGAAGAGAAUCGGAACCCGAGGGUGAGGGGGCUACAUUAAACCUAACAUCCCCCAUGGCACUCGCGAUACUUCCAUUGAUGAAUCAAUGGAAGAAAAGGAGGGCGACACAAGAACACUAGAACUUGCCACAGGAAGAGAAAUCGAGGGAGAGGGAGCAGACGAGGUGAAGAAAACCCCUCCCAAGAAGGAAGAGUUGAAACUGCAAUGUUCCCUCUUAUAAAACGCCCUCCACUGCGACUUAGGCGGAGUGACAUUCCAGGCAGGGAUUCGUUAUAGUACAAUAAUUAGCUCUACACCUACUGCAUGUUGUGAGGAUCUGUAGAUGUAGAUGCUAGAAACCUUGAGCAUGGGAAACCCUGCAUGCCCGGGCACGUGUUGACGAGGCCGUAAAGAUUUGGAGGAAUCCAUAACAAACCAAAACAAUCACACACACACUGAAAGGAAAGAACACAGGCAGAAAAACAACCAGCUUGGAAGGAGAGCAAAAGUGAAAGUGUCUAUUCCCCAAGGCAGUUAAAGAAAAGACUGGAGUGUCAUAAGGUCCGGUGCGCAGUCUCUGACCAAGCGUCACGAGGUCUGGUGCACGGUCUCUGACCAGCUCUCGCCUUGUACAUGCAGGAGUUGCCAGAUAUCACAGAUUCCUUGCUUUACAAUCUUUGAUUGUGUUAACCGGUUACCAGCUGGCGCUUGGGAAGUUAUCCUAUUCUUAAAACCUCAGGUUUGUUAGCUAUGAAAAAUACAAAUUGAUUAAAAAUUUGUCAUUUUUCAACUCCUAGCUAGUUAUGUGUUUUAGUCUUUAAUUUUCCAACUCAUAGCUAGUAGUAUAGUGUUUAGUCUCAAUUUUCCAAUUCAUGCUAGUAGUUUUUAAUCCAGAGUUAGAAACAGGCACAGUUAGUUAUCAUGACAAGUCUUUAAUGCUCCAGCAUCACAGCACCUAUUGCUAUAUAGAGAUCUUGUAAUUUCUUAUACUGCAAUGGUAUUCCUAGAGUAAAUUAAGCCUGAAGGAGAGUGAAAAAAAAACAGUAGCAUUAUUGCCAUAGAAAACCAGGUCCCUAUUAGGGAGGAUGAAGUCCCUGAAACUAACCAUGCCUCUCUUUCCAUAGGAAAGGACCAGAUGUUUGGUAGGAAGGAUGACAUGAACAUCUGAACUCCUGCCAUGAUCGAGUGUUACUUAAAAUAUGGAAGUAUGCUCUUUUCUUUCCUCAUUGAGAAAACUCUAGUGGUACCUAGAGAGAAUGAGAACAUGGUUACCAACUCUUCUGGACUUCAUUGCUGUUAAUACUGUCCCAGCUUUAUGCUACUAAAAUACACCUUGCUUCCUGUAAAGGAAAGUCUCCAGUCUCAAAACAGUACUGUGCUCUCACUAAGGCCACCUGACGGAUGAUAUGAGAUACGUACUUACCCUGACAGAUGAUACAAGAUACCCUGACCUAAUUAAUUCAAGCAGCUUUUGGGCAAGCUCAUCUUAAUUUUACCAGGCAUUACACCAUAAGUAAAACCAACCAUGUUUAGUUCUGUGAAAAUAUUAUUUCAAAUCUGACAUGUUUGUAAGUUUGCCCAUCGUUACACAAUAUACAUGAUAUUAAUUAAAGAGCAAGUUUAUGAUAAAAAUAAUGAUUAACCCUUAAAACUGUUUGUUCCUAUGGGAUACAAACACUGUGCCUUUCAUGUACCAGCUAAGCAAGGGUGGUACCAUGGUGGGGAUGAGGGAAGCGAUGCCCAUUCUCACACAACUUGACAUUAUCCUUACAGCUGUGAUAUGUUUCAGAUGUGUUUCUUGCACUCAGGCUUUUUAUGUUUGCUGGCUGUUUCUAAUGUAUGAAUAUUGUGAUUUAUAAAUCCUAAGUGCAUUCAGAUGUGACCUUUUAUGCCUAAAAGUACUAGUGUUGUGUUUUUUCAGACACUUUUAUUGGUUCUUGUCUCAAUGGAGACCAGACAACACAAACUACAGCUUAGGUCAAAGUCAACCUUAUAAUCUUUUUGCCAGCAACAUAACAGCUUUCAAUGAAGGGUUCAUCAUCACCUGUCUGGAUCGCUGAUUUGCAGACUAACUAUUAACUUUUGAAGUGUGUGUUUGUGUGUAUGAGGUACUUUAGAUCUCCUGGAGAAGAUACUAACAGUUACAAUGGUCUCGGCUUUAUAGACUACUGCAUUACAAAAGGGUUUUCCAGCUGCAGUAGUCUAUCCUGGUGAGCUUCCUCAGAUAGGUGUGACGUAAGUCGGCAUUUCCUGACUAAAUACCAGACUUGUAGUACAAGGCUAUUACAAGUCAAGUAGGACCAGCAGAAGGAAGGGUAGGAGGGCCAGUAGCAUAUUUCAUUAUCAUUGGCUUUCUUCAGGUAGGGUUGGUAACAUGGCACCAACCCACUUAGACUUAGGGUCUGCUACUGUAUCAUCUCUCUGUGAUCUCUUGGCCUCACUGUUAAGGCUGUUCAGCUUGUUCAUCGGGUACAAAAGUCUUUCCUCCUCUCACCACAACUAUUCAGGAUCAGAUUGAGAGGGGUUUGCACGACUUACACAGAUAGGGGUUUUACUGCUGGCAGUGGGGUAUUUUGCUCUUGCAGUCCACCCAGGUUGAACGAUUGUAGUAGGCAGGUGAAAAGAGUAACUAUUUUCACUGUAACUUCUUGGGGUCACACACACAAAGGUUUGCACGACCCACUUGGUGUAGGGUUUGCAUGGCGCAUUCGCUAGUUAUGUAUUCAGUCUACAAAUUGGUUUGCAGUGAUGCAGGGUAAAGUUGUUCUUCCCAAACCUUCGUUGGGAGGUUUGGUUUUGGGGGUGAACCUGCAUCAUUGCUGUGCUAGAGCUGAUCAUGCUCUCUGGAGGGUGUUUGUUCCAAGUAGUCUUCUCCUCCAUGGAAAUUUCUAUCAAUUCAUUCACCUCUUGUGAACACAGCUAACCAUGCAGGUUCAAGGAGCUGAAAUUCAAACCUUGCUCCUCCUCUUUCUCGGUUUCAUCAAACACUGCACAGGAGGGCAGUAGUGUUUAAACCGAAAUGGGGUUGACAGUGAGUCCACUACAGCUUGUAUGUGCUCCAAUGACUCACCUGGUUCAUUAAGGAGUUUCGAACACCCUAAGAAGCACAGUUCUGUCGGGUCUUCUCCUUUGGUUGAGGUAGGAGCAGUAUGGGCCUUCAAAAUCAGAUGGGAUCAAGCAAUCCCAUUUUUCAAAUUUCUUGCAGACACACAAGAGUGGCAAUUCUUAGUUUUUUCCAUGCAUAAUUAGAAAAAUAUUUUGGGGGUUUAACUUUUGAACACCCUUGAUCUUAUGUAUGGAGUUGACCUUUGGGUACACUCUAGAGGCGCUUCCAGGGCUCAUUCCAUAUUUGCAGUCUAUGUGGUGUUUGAGGAAGGGUGUCUAAGGAAUGUUAACAUCCUGCUCUAAAGACCAGGAAGUGCCUUUGUUGCCAGCAGAUUGUGCAAACUAUAUUUCCAUGCCGUUCUCAUACAAGAUGUAUUUGCACCAGAGAUGACUCCUGGGGUGGUUUGAAGCAGCUUGUGGGUUGUUUACUUGUCUCCCAUUCUUAAAGUUAAUGUCAAAAUGGUUUCCAUUCACUGUAAUAAUAUUUGUGGUGUUGAAGACCAUUUCUAUAACUUUUCUCCAGAACAUUUAGUGAUUUAUAUUAACUUACAUUCACCUACAGGCUGUUAAUAGGUAUGACUGGAGUCAAAGAGUAAGAUUCUCCUUCCUGGCAUUUCUAAGUGCCAUGCCACUGAACAAUUUUCUCCUUAUGAGAGAUAAACAUUUGUCUUUCUUGAAACUAUUAGAUUAUAAAUUUUCUAGCUUCAGAAUUCUUCAGUGCUGGGCAGACAUGAAGCCCAUCCUUCUCCCUCAGAAAAUAUUGUUAAAGCUGAAAGUGGCCAUUUCCCUCCUCCAAUAACACAAUGGAGGGUAACCUCUUUUGCCUGUAGUGACAGAUGCAUGGAGCAGAGCAUUUUUAUUAGCAGAGUUCUUUGGAACAGCUACAGGCUUUUCUGCAUUAAGAUUUUGUCCUACCCUCCUUAAUAAACCAAAUUCCUUUUUCCAGAUUUGCAUGUCUCAGUCUUCUCAACAGGGGGGAUGCAACUUUUGGGAAAAGAGCCAUUAAGAGUCCUUUAAUAUUGGUACCCUGGUAUGAUGGUCCAAUUCCCUGUUAGAGAACACCAACCAGGGGUUAGAGACUGAACUCUGACCUCUUCUGUAUCAAGUUUGCAUCACAAACCUGUUUUUACUAGUCUUUUAAUGGGUAUGGCUCUAUUACCCCUCAAGGAGGGGAAGGACACAUUUUUUUUUGUGAUAACUGAAGGACGAGUUCUUUUGAGUACCAAUUCUUCAUAGGUUUGGGUAGUACCUCGACUUCUUGCAUUGAUAGUAUAAAUCUUUGUGUUUCUGUAUCUCAUAUGGCACUGAAUUGUUGAUUAAGAUAUCUUGCCAUUUCUCCUUUAAGUAAGUAUUAAGAAAGCUUUCAGAGACCAAAACCCCUUACUCUCCACCUUUGGUAUUGCAAGCAUAUGAAGUAGGGAAUACUCCUAGGAUAAAGUUUUCACCUCGGGAGUGUAUUCCGUUUUAUGCACCUCAUCUGCACAAUACCAUUCUCAUUGAGUUUGCAUCAUGAUUAAUGUUGCAAAUUUUCAGAAUGGUUGAGUCUAGGUGGUGGGUGAGCAGUACACUGCUGUCAUGACUACAGGUGAGCAGUCUCAUACUUUACUUCCUAUAGCAGUGCAGUUGCUCUGGUGGACAGUUUGAAGUUGUCAGAUUGGCUGCUUUUUUUAUGCAUUCCACACCACAGGAUGAUAUUGCAGUUCAGCUCGACUGUCAGCCUCAAGUUCAGUGGUGUUUUGGCCCUUGCUCCCUUGAGUAUUGGAGAAUUUAAGUUUUCUGUUUUCUUUUUUAGUUCUUGGAGCAGUGAUGGAAUUAGUCUCUUUCGUUAACUUCUUUGAAGGGCGAUAUUCACCGUUUCUUUGCUUGACACUGGCAGUUCCAUGUUGGCUUCUGGGAGGGGUUUUCUGAUCCGUUGUUCCUCUGGUCAAAGUUCUGUGAGUGACUCCAGCUCUGUACCCUUAUUCUCUCAUUUGCCUUUUCCACCGAGAGGUGUACUUCCUUUUACUGUAGACUGGAAUUCUCGAGCAGCUCCCGAGAGAUUGAUUUUUCUUGCAUGGUAGCAAUGAAUGUAUUUAUGUACCUCUUAAUUUUUUUCAGCAAGCAUGCUUCAGGAAGGGAAAAACAUUAUGAUUAGCAUCAAAGAAAGGAGAAAUCCUCUGCUCAGAGGUCACAGACUUUUUCUUUUACCUUAGCCGAGUCAGGUCCCUUUCAAUGUGUGACAUAAAGGCUAGGGUUUGCCUUUAUAGUCUCCAUCUAAUUGGGUUAGCCCUCUCCUCUCCAUCAGAGUUGGCUUUUUUUUAAGUUUUGACAGUUUCCAUCUCUCAGGAACUUCAGUUCUGAGUGAUUCAUGUUCUUAGUGUUAAAGCAUUAUGUGGUAUUUGUUGGCCAGUCUUUACCCAUCCACAGUUCUUUACUGGCCUUGGCAUAAGAUUGGGGAAGUCAUUUUGCUUUCUGAUCGCAUUUGGUUUUUGGUAGGGUGGAGAUCAGUCUUGUUCCUUCAUAGUUCAAGUCCUGUCUCUCUUGACGAGAUUAAGUUUCCUCAUUCUUCCCCUUCGAAUCCAAGGUGGUGAUUUGGAUGACAUAUUGCUUUACUGGGAUGCACUUUUCCACUUUUCAGUUUCAGGAGUUAUCAAUUCCUGGGUUUGGAGAGUUUUCUUUCAUUUGUAUGCUGAUUACAGCCAGAAAAAGCUGUCUAGGAACACUUCCAGCAGCUGAACAAGUAGUGUUACUGCCAGAAACUGUCCAGGAAUCCCAAAGCUCAUUUGAGUGCUUUGGCUAGCUUGUGUGCUCCUGAGGGGGGCAGUGGUCUAUGCACCAAUCCUUCUCUUUUCCAUGACCCAUACCCACAAACAAUUGUGCUAAGAGUACAAGUUCGGCCCAAUGAGUAUAGGUAAGUGACACUAUAAGCCCUUGUUCUUACUAACCUAGAAUGCAAGCUCCCCCAAUAUAAUGGGGGGGAGGGGGAGGCAAGGAAGAGCCCUUUAUCCAUUACAAAGGCUACUAGUUUGUUUCCUGCCUCUCCAGAGGGAGGUUUAGUCCUAAAGGAUUUAGUCCAAUGUGAUUCCACGCCACAACAUACAGAGCAGAGGUAAAGGGAAGCACUGCUAGUGCCUUUUCUCUACAAUUAACACCCAAUUUGACCUGCAGGUACUACCUUCCUCUUAAAGUGGUUAGUCACUGUUCAUGAAGUGUAAUAUUAAAUUUUAAAAAUUUUUAUUUUUCCUAUGUAUAUAAACCAUAGCCUUUCAUAGGAGUUAACCCACCUUGUCCAGCAUAAUUUUACUUCAUUUUAAGUUUUUCCUAAUGCAUACAGGCUGAAAGAAAAAUGUGUAACAUCACUUGGUGAAAUUGGACAUCCUCUAUAUUCUAGGUACCACCCUUGUUUAGUCAGCACAUGGCCAGUCCAGCACUUUGUGGAAGAAUUUUCUAUCUUUGUACUGUAAUUCCUCUUUAAAAAGAAAUUUGACAGUUGAUUUUACUGCUACAAUGGGUUUCACACGACUUGAAUAGGCAAAGCCUCUGGCCUUGUAUAAUUUGUUCUCGAGAACAGCCACCAAUUUGAAUGUUUCAUGUCAAAAUUCUGUGCAUUCUUGUUGGAAGGUAAUAGUGCCUGGCAUUUGGAGAUUUACAGAUAUGAUGUGUAAUUGUAAUAAAUAUAUUUUCAGUGUACAA